UACGUAGGGUGCGAGCGUUGCCCGGAAUUAUUGGGCGUAAAGGGCUCGUAGGCGGUUUGUCGCGUCGGGAGUGAAAACCAGGUGCUCAACACCUGGCUUGCUUUCGAUACGGGCAGACUAGAGGUAUUCAGGGGAGAACGGAAUUCCUGGUGUAGCGGUGAAAUGCGCAGAUAUCAGGAGGAACACCGGUGGCGAAGGCGGUUCUCUGGGCAUUACCUGACGCUGAGGAGCGAAAGUGUGGGGAGCGAACAGG
rnacentral:rRNA from 1 species